rnacentral:rRNA from 2 species
UUGACCUCGGAUCAGGUAGGGAUACCCGCUGAACUUAAGCAUAUCAAUAAGCGGAGGAAAAGAAACCAACAGGGAUUGCCCUAGUAACGGCGAGUGAAGCGGCAACAGCUCAAAUUUGAAAUCUG